AUCCGGGUCCUGGCGCGGUGCUCUCCCGGCAGCGACGGGCGCGAGGGCCGGGGCAUUCCCACGGCCGCGACGGCCCUCUCCGCGAGCGCGAGGAUGUACAUGAAGCAUGGCACCAACAGCUGCUCCUGUGAGGCCUCAAGAAGCUUACAAUCGUGGCAGAAGCUGAAGGGGGAGCCAGCGUGUGGCAUGGCAAGGGAAGGAGCAAGAGAGAGAGGGAGGAGCUGCCAGGCUCUUGAACAACCAGAUCUCACGUGAACUCACAGAUUGAAAUUCACUCAUUACUGUGAGGACACACCAAGCCAUUUAUGAGGGAUGCACCCCUAUGACCCAAACACCUCCUACUAGGCCCACCUCCAACAUCAGAGGUCACAUGAAACGAGAUGUAUAGGGGACAAAACAGUCAAACCAUAUCAGUCCCACCAGCAAGAAGGCUCUCACUGGAUGUGGUCCCUUGAUCUUGGACUUCUCAGCCUCUGUAACUGUAAAAAAUAAAUUUUGUUUCUUAUAAA
rnacentral:lncRNA from 1 species